UACCCUAUUAUAAAAAUUUAAAUUAAUUUACUAAAAAAUUAAUAGUUAUGUUCUUUAAAUUUAAAAAAUUUGGCGGUAUUUUAGUCUUAUUAGAGGAAUCUGUUUAUUAAUUGAUAAUCCACGAUUAAUUUUACUUAUUUUAAUUAAUUCAUAUAUCGCUGUCAUGAAUAUAUUUAAAAAUUUAUUUUCUUUAAUUAUUUUAAUAAUUUAUGUUAAGUCAAGAUGUGGUUUAUAAAUAAGAAUAUAAUGGGUUACAUUAAAUUUUAUUUUUGGAUUUAAAAUGAAAAUUAAAAUGAAAUUGGAUUUAAUAGUAAGUUUAAUUAAUUUAUUAGUAUGAAUAAAGAUCUAAAUUAU
rnacentral:rRNA from 1 species